CGCCUGGUUAUCAAAAACAUGUCUUUUUGUUAAUUAUUUAAGGUCUAACCUGCUCAAUGAGUGUUAAAUAGCCGCAGUAUUUUGACUGUGCAAAGGUAGCAUAAUCAUUAGUUUUUUAAUUGGAAGCUGGAAUGAAUGGUUGGAUGAGAAGACGGCUGUCUCAUUUUAAUUUUGUUGAAUUUUAUUGUUAAGUUAAAAAGCUUAAAUUUUAUAGAAAGACGAGAAGACCCUAUAGAGUUUUACAAUUAAUUACUUGGUUUUUUUAGGCUUUAAUUUUUAAUUAGGUUUAUUUUUGUUUUGUUGGGGUGACAUGAAAAUUGGUUUAACUUUUCAUUAUUUCUACAUUUGUUUAUGAUUUGUUGAUCCUGAAGUUUUGGAUUUUAGAAUAAAUUACCUUAGGGAUAACAGCGUGAUUCCUUUAGAGAGUUCUAAUUGAUAAAGGAGAUUGCGACCUCGAUGUUGGAUUAAAGUUAAUUUUUGGUGCAGAAGCUGAGAUUUUAAGUCUGUUCGACUUUUAAAACUUUACGUGAUCUGAGUUUAGACCGG
rnacentral:rRNA from 1 species